AACGGCGGUCCUACGUGGCAGUCCAAAUGAGUUUUAAAUGCCAACUUGGAUGUCCUACGUGGCAGUCCAAAUUAAAUUUAUUUAAUUAAAAACCUAUUUUUAUUUCAACAACUAGACAUCCAAGUUAACAUUUAGAACUCAUUUAGAUUGCCAUGUAGGACUGUCGUUAGGGAAAUAACAGAGUUUAAUAAUAGAGUGGCCACUUCGUAAUAAAACGAUAACAUAAGUGACUAAAAUGUAAUUUCAAAUGUAAGUGACUAAAAUGUAAUCUGAGCAAACAAAAGUGACUAUUUUUGUAGUUUAUCCUAAAUUAAUAAUAAAGUAUUAAUAUUUCUAUUUUUUAAAAUUAUUUUUCAAACUUUACAGAUCUUAAAAUUAUUUGAAAUUAAUAUAAUUUAAUAGACAUAUAUAACAAACUCGUGCAUCGCACAAGAUAAAAAUAUAUAUACUACAGCAAUUUAAAGUUACAAUUAAUGUAGAGUCAAGAGUGCCCUCUUAGGUUUCCCUAAGAAAUAGUGAAUACUGUGGUUGGGAAGAAGACGAGCGGUGACUCUGAAACGAUGGAUAAUAGGAACGAGAUUACUCUCCUUAAAGAAGAAUUAAUUCAAUUAACAGCGAAAAGUUCGUUAGUCACUCCAUCCGAGAAUCCGACGCUGAUCUGUUCGAUUUGGACAAGGAAAUCGUAUAAUCUAGACAAUCUGAGAGCGCAAUUAAGGAGUAUCUGGAAAACAAAAAAGAAGUUUGAGAUUCUUAUUACUGGUCAGAAUUUAUUUACAAUUUCUUUCGAAGAUGAGGAAGAUUUAGAACAGAUCUUGGAGGGCCGCCCAUGGUUUUUCCAAGAACAAUUAAUCAUCUUCGAUAAAUUGACAAAACCUGUAGAACGUAAUAAGAUUCAAUUGAUUUUCUCUCCUUUCUAGUUAAAGGUUGCCCCAUGUCCACCUGAGUAUGAUAAGAAACAUUUGAUACAUGCAACUGAAUCUACCUUUAGGGGAGUAAUUCGAGCCGAGAUAAAGAGGGAAUUCUGCCGAAUUAGAGUUAAUUUGAAUAUUCAAAAAUAGCUGAGAAGAGGUAUUUUUGUUUCUCCGAAUGGAAGAGGGAAAAUCUUGUUAUCCUUUAAUUAUGAAAAUCUCCCAACUUUCUGCUUUGGUUGUGGAUGGAUGGGUCAUGGGGUUAAAGAAUGUUUCGAAAAACAAUUUAGAGAAUGCAGUAGGACAGAAGAUGAAUAUCCUUUCUCGCUAGCACUUAAGGCAGAAUCUUCCAUUAUUGGGAAAGAAAGCUUAAUACUUGGCUCACUAAUGAAAAAAUCAAUGAAGUAGUGUUUUUUUCAUAGGGGAAGAAGCGGCGAACAAAGAGGCUGAUCUACUACUGGGAGCGACGUACCUGCCUCACUGGCUGGAGAAGGAAGUGGUUUCGAAAUAGGAUUCUAUGAUUCAGGAAAUGAAAAAUGUAACACCCCUUACCCGUAUCCAAGGCCGGAACAGGGUACGAGGCAUUACCAGACUUAACCAUACACAUAGACGAAAACCAGGCCAUAAAAUUUCAUUUAAUUCAAAACUUUUCGAAUACAUACAUUGACUCAUAUUUAAAGACAUAUAACGUAACAUAAAUGAGCACUUACACAUCCAUAAUCAUGCAAUAACAUGUCAUUCACUUUAAACAUAUUUGCUUACCAUGCUGUAUAUAAUAUACAUUCUUACAUUAACUAGAACUAGACAUGCUAAAUCUUAUUCUCAUUUUAUACCAUCAUAAUGUAGUUACCAAUUUGUCCAUUAAACAUCCAUAUUCAAGGAAACAUUACUCAUUUCCAUUUAAUUCAUAAUCAACUGGCCUGCAUUUAACUUACUGGAUGUAUUACCAAUCAUGCAUAACAAACAAAACUAACUAUAUCAUCACAUCAAAACAUAAAACAUGGCAUGAUUAAUUAAACUUAUAAACCAUAAUGGAUAAAGACCACAUCUCAUGAUCAUAUACGAUAACUCAAUGCAGACUGAUACAUAUGAUCAAAGUCAUAAUAAUAAUACAUAUCACAAACCAACUUCCUAUGCAUGCCACUCACCUGAUAUUUCUAAUAUUUAAAUUAAUUCCCUCAAAAAUGAUAUUUUGAUAGUGUGAUUUUACCUCUGACGAUCUCUAACCCUGAACCGACCUUCCAAUACUAAAGAAAUGGAGAGAAUGGAUAAGCUUUACGCUUAGUAAGUCCAUAUGAAAUUAAUAAGCAAUUACUAACAUGCUUUUCAAGAUAAAAUACUAUAAUUGUACAAUUACACAUGUUUAGGUUAAGCUGUUUUAUCGAGUUAUAGUUACUAAAUCAUUCAUAUAUAAAGCUACAAAACUCUAAAUUUAGUUUUGUUAAUUUUUUUGAAACUAGACUCACAUACCUUUCUCCCAUAAAAUUUUCAAAAUUUUUGGUUUAGCCAAUUAGUAUAGUUUAUUCAUGAAAUUUUCCCCUGUUUUGCUGUCCAAUAGUUCUGACCUCUCUUCACUAAAAAUUAUUUAUCUCAUAUUUCGAAGCUCGGUUGAUGUUCCCGUCCAUUCCUCCUGAAAGUAGACUCAUUUAGGAUUCUAUUCAUAUAAAUUAUAACUCAUAAUUAUUUUUUUACAAUUUUUAACGAUUUUUCCAAGUCAAAACAGGAGAUCUCAAAUUCAUUUUGACACUGUCUCACAAAAAUUAGAAUAUCACAUAAUAUAGAACUAUUUUGCUCCCCCUGUUUCUUUUAUAUGAAAAUAGACUCAUUAAUCUUUAAUUCCAUAAUUUUUUUGAAAUUCAAUUCAACUUACAUAAUAUUUUGUGAAUUUUUAAAGUCACACAACUGCUGCUGUCCAACACUGUUUUACUACUAAAAUUCACUUACAUAAUUUCACUUAAUCCAUUUUGUCUUAUCGAAGUUCACUCAAAUAUCGAGCACAUUGCUCAUAAUUUUCAUAAACAUAUACCUGCAAUUAUUCACCAUAUAAUCAUGUUCAAAUAUAUUUUUACUUAAUCGAUUUUCCCGUUGAACUCUUUGGAAUAAAAACUGAUACUCAGUUGCCUGCACAUAUUUUCACUUGUAGACAAGGCUAUCUAGUACGCAUAGUAGCCUACACUUAGUACUACACAUGCGACCAAUUAUCCGGUACACGUAGUAGUCUGCACUUAGUAUUACACACGUGACCUAACCAUCUGAUACACGUAGUAGCCUGCACUUAGUACUACACACGUGAUCAAAGUUAUCGGGUACGCAUAGUAGCCUACACUUAGUACUACACAUGCGACCAAUUAUCCGGUACACGUAGUAGCCUGCACUUAGUACUACACACGUAACCUCACAAUAGAUCAUUCGUAUCGUUUCUAUUCCAAAGGCUCAACCGGAAAAUUCCUCACUUUCCAGCAUGUUACAUAUUUAUUCAUAGUCCUUUUUCAAUUUGCAAUUUAUAACAAAUAAUCAUUCUAUAGGCAGUCACAUUUCAUAUGAUAACAAAAUAUAAUAAAAUAAAAAAAAUCGAUAAAUUAUUUACGUACAAACUUGUCGAAAUCUCAUCAGGUACAACCCAUAUAAUAGUAAUUUAACAUUCAAUUCAUGUAACAAUAAUUUGCCAUUCAAUUUCACGACACAACAAGCAUCACAUUUUCCAUAUUAUACACACCAUCCAUCAACUUCUCCUAAACAUAUUAAAUCAUACAAUUUAUGCCAUAACAAUAGAAAAUUACAAUUCAAGUAUGGUAUUGCAUUAUUAUUAACACACGAACUUACCUCGUAUACGAAAAUGGCCAUUUUUACCAUUUUAUCUACAACUUAGUAUUUUGUCAAUUUUAGCUCGAAUUUCAAUUUUCCUUGCUCUAUCAUUACAAAUAUAGCCUAAUUAGGAAUCACAUUAUUCAAAAAAUCAUAUUUUGAUAAAAUUAAAAUUUUGCCCCUAAACUUUGUCAAAAUUACAUUUUUACCCCUAGGCUCAUAAAUUGAACUUCAUCCUAUUUUCUUAUGUUUUAUGACAUGCUGGUCAUUUUUCCCUUCUAUAACAACAUCAAAUUCACACUCUAACAUGUACUUAUGAACAUUAGGUAUUUUUACCGAUUAUGUCGUUUUACUCAUUUUCACGUAAAAUCGCUUAGUAAAAGUUGUUUAACACAAUUUCAAGCUUCAUAUUUUACCAUAAAACAUAAAAAAUAAACACAUUUCACCUAUGGGUAUUUUUUUAAAUAUAAACCUUUGGUUAAAUUAUUGCUAGAUUAAGCUUAACCAAGUUACCAGGAUUUCAAAAAUAUAAAGAACUUUAAAAACGGAGCUAAGGAGCACUUAGAAUCGAGCUUGGGAGUUUGAACAAACCUUAACCAUGGCUGCUGCUGGUAAAAAUGGUUAAAUGAAGAAGAUGAUAGCUAAUUUGGCUUAUUUCCCUUUUUAAUUCUUUUAAUUAUUAGUUUACCAAAAUACCCUUAACUUAAAAAUAUUUUAUUACUCAUUUCAUGUCUAUUUUUGUACAGAAAUUAACCAAUGGUCUAAUUACCAUUUAAGGACCCUCAAUUUAAAAUUUCAUAACAAUUGGACACCUCUAGUAUGUAGAACUCAACUUUUACACUUUUUACGAUUUAGUCCUUUUAACUAAAUUAAGUACCCGGAUGUCAAAAUUUUCAAACGAAAUUUUCACGAAAUUAUCCCGUAAAAUCGUAGACCAUAAAAAUAUAAUAAAAAUAAAUUUUUUGUCGUCAGAUUUUUGGUCUCGAAACCACUGUUCCGACUAAGCCCAAAAUUAGAGUGUUACAGAAAAAUUACAAGAACACUCUAGAGAUAACGAUGAAAGAAUUUUGCUGCAAUAUCACCUAUAAAAGGGAAGGAAACUUUAAGAGAUAAUGAUGGAAAAAUCUCGCCUCAAAAUUUACCUAUAAAAGGGGAGGCACAAUUAAACAACAAUUGACACAAUAUUGAAGAUGGCCAAAAGUAAACUCAAUGCAAAUGGGGCUUACAGAAGAGGUAGAUGAAUCUAACACAAGCUGGUUAACACAAGCUGGUAUAAUAAUGAUGAUCAUUUUAAAAUUAAUUCUAAACUUGUGGGACCCAAUAGCCCAAUAGAGUUGCUCCAGUUGGGCCACAAGAAAAAAAAAAUAGGCAUCGUUUAUCCAACAGGGGUAAAAGAGAUUCAAAUAUCGGUGAAUUUAUAAAUGGAAAACGAAAAUUUGAUCAAGUGGCAGAGAUAGCUUCAGAAUCAAAUGUUGAAGAUACAACUAAAAAAGAAAAAUACGACGAUGGGAAUAUGAAAGGUUGUACAACAUUAGCAGAGUCUCAGGUUUUCAUGGAGGACGAUGCUAAAUUUUCAUAAAGUAUAUCAGCGGCUGGCAAAUGGCCAGCUAACCGGGAACAAUGAAAAUCCUUUGCUGGAAUGUCUGAGGAUUGGGGAAUCCUCAGACGAAGGCUUCAACACUCGUUGAAGCUUUAUAAACACCAAAUGGUCUUCUUAAUGGAGACAAAAUUGGACAGCAUUCGAAUGGAACAUUUUCAAAAACGAUGUGGCUUUCAAAAUGGAAUGGAUAUUUCAGCAAGUGGUUCAUGUGGUGGAUUAAGUCUUGCAUGGAAUGGAAAUAAUUUAGUUCAAUUUUAUAGCUAUUCAAACAAUCAUUGAUGUGGAGAUUAAUGAAGAGGAUAUCCCAAACAAGUGGCGAUUCACUGGAUUUUAUAGUAAUCCAAAUCAAUCAAGCAAACAGGAGUCGUGGAAUCUUCUUCGUAGAUUAAGGAAUAAUGGGUCAUCACCAUAGUGUAUGUGGAGACUUUAAUGAGAUUAUGUAUGCACAUGAAAAAAUGGGAGGGAUAACAAAGAAUGAGAGACAAAUGGAGGAAUUUCGAAAAGCUUUGGAAGACUGUGAUCUGGCUGACAUGGGUUUCAGUAGACAAAAGUUUACUUGGGAUAGGGGUAACUUUGCAGAUACAAAUAUAAAAGAACGACUUGACAAGGGAGUUACAAAUCGAGAGUGGCUGAACUUGUUUCCUGAGUACUCGGUUCAACAUUUUUCUCUGAUCAUUACCCAAUUUUCAUCCAAACAAUGCCAAAUGUAAAAAGCACUAGAGGUAAUUUUUUUAUAUUCGAAUCUUGGUGGGUAAUUAAGCCAUCAUACAAAGAAGUCAUCUUGGUGACAGAAGCACUCUAGUAAUGUUUUGGAAAAAUUAGAGUAUACCCGUUUGGGUUUAUAGAAAUAGGCGAAAAACAUCAAAGGAGAUCCUGAAAGGAGAUCGAAGUUUCUAAGAGGUAGAUUGGCUGAACUUGAUAGAAAGGAUAGGGAUGAUGAUAUCCUUGUAGAGAUCAUUGAUGUGAAGUUAGAAUUAAACUGGGAGAUAGAGAAGGAGGAGAUGUAUUGGGAACAGAGAGCAAGAUCGAAUUGGUUGAGUUAAGAGGAUAGAAAUACGACUUUUUUUCAUAGUUAAGCAUUUCAAAGAUGUAGAAUGAAUAGAAUAAGAGGGAUGGAAGUUAACGAAGGAAUUCUCAAAAUAGAAGAAGAAGAAUAUUAGAAAACAUAAUAAGAAACUACUUCAUGAAGCUUUUUGAAUCUAAAGGAGUUGGCGAUACAAAUUACCUUCUUUCAGGUGUUAAUUGCACUAUCACUAAAAGCAUGAAUCAACUGUUGGUAGGAAAUUAUAAAGAGGAGGAAAUAAUUGAAGCAAUAAAUAGUAUAAGGCCGACAAAAGCUUCUAGACCUAAUGGAUUUUUUGCCAUCUUCUUUCAAAAACUCUGGCAUAUCGUAGAGAGGGAGGUAGGUGAUUUUUGUUUGGAAGUUCUUAACAAAGGAAAACCCUCAGAUCUUUUAAACCAUACGAAUAUUGUGCUAAUCCCAAAGAACCCCCAUCCGAAAAGUCCAUCAGAAUUUAAACCAAUUAGCCUUUGUUCGAUUUUUUAUAAAAUAAUCUCAAAAUCUAUAACAAACAGGUCCCAAAAAUUACUCGAUUAUUGUAUUGAUCCGACUUAAAGUGUCUUUGUACCGGUAGAUUAAUUACCGGUAUGCCCUUCUUGCAUAUGAAAUUCUACAUUCUAUGAGGAAUAAAGGAUUGGGAAAAAAGGUCUUACGGCUCUUAAGAUUGAUUUGAGCAAAGCCUAUGAUCGGGUGGAGUGGGAUUUCUUGAAGCAAAUGAUGGCUAAAAUAGGAUUUGAUGAGUCUUGGAUUCAGCUUAUUAUGAAAUGCAUCAGCAUUGUUUCGUACUCGAUCAUUUUGAACGAGAGGCCAUGGAAGGUUUUUAAUUCGGGAAGAGGCCUAAGUCAAGGGGAUCCUUUGAGCCCUUUUCUAUUUUCUCAUAUGCAGUGAGGGGCUGUCUACAUUAUUAAGACUUGCUAGUGAAGAAGGAAUAUUGAGAGGAGUAAAAGCGAGUAAAAGAAGCUCACAGAUUAUUCACCUCCUUUUUACGGAUGAUUGUGUUUUAUUUGGGGAAGCAACUGAAAAAGGUACAGAGACUUUUGAAAAGGUUUUAAAGGAAUAUGAAGUAUGCUCAGGGCAAUGCAUCAAUUAUGGAAAGUCGAUAGUUUUCUUUAGCUCAAAUACAACUGAAAUAAUUCGUUCAGCUAUUUCAGAUAGGCUGGGGGUCAAAUGGAAAAACAAUUUAGAGAAAUAUCUGGGCUUUCCGAAUAUGGUAGGUAGGAGGAAAAGGCUAGCAUUCCAACACCUUAAAGACCAUAUUAAAGUAAAAAUUGACUAUUGGAGUUCUCGAUUACUAUCGCAAGGGGGAAAAGAAGUUUUUAUUAAAGCUGUGUUACAAGCAAUUCCAACCUAUACAAUGGGAUGCUUUUUAUUACCGAAGUCAAUAUGUGAAGUUAUGGAACAAAUAAUAUCCAAGUUUUCGUGGAAAAACGGUUAUGGGAAAUGGGGGAUACAUUGGUGCUCAUGGAAUAACUUAUACGAAUUAAAGGAGUUUGGUGGUCUUGGUUAUCGUAAUUUUGCAAAGUUUGAUUUCGCCAUCCUCGCAAAGCUAGGAUGGAGAUUGAUUGAAAAUCCUAAAUCUUUUCUAGCACAGACGUUAAAAGCCAAAUAUUACCAGAAUUUUGAUUUUCUAAACUCAGAGCUAGGGAAUUUACCUUUAUAUACUUGGAAAAGUAUAUGGGCUGCAAAAGGUCUUUUGCAAACAGGACUAUGCUGAAGGGUGGGCAAUGGAUGGAAUAUUAGAGUUGAAGAAGAUGUAUGGGCUCCAAAUGGAAAAAAUCUGCAUAUUCAACAAUUAGUCAGAAGCCAAAAUAUAUUGAAGGUAGCAGACCUGAUUGAUAGCAACACUAGAUCAUGAAAAACAAAGCUAAUUAAAGAUACCUUUUCUGAAGAAGAUGCUCAGAGAAUUCUCCAAAUCCCAAUAGCUUACUCUCCACAGGAUGAUUUUCUGGCUUGGAGAGGUGAAUCAACAGGCGAGUACAUGUAAGGAGUGGGUAUAAAUUAUUAUUACAUGGUAAUUCUAUCAAUAACAAUAGAUACAACCCGAAUGAAAAUAGGAAAUGCUACAAAAAAAUAGUGGAAUAGUGAUCUCCCCUCAAAAUUAAUAAUUAUAGCUUGGAGAGCCACUCUAAACUACCUUCCUACAUUAGCAAAUCUAAGAACUAAAAGGUUAAUUAUUAAUGAAUCCGUCUGCCUGAGGUGUCUGCAAGGAGUGGAGAAUAGAGAACACGUCUUCCACGAAUGUGUUGUCUUAAAGGAAACAUGGGAUAACUUAAAAUUUGUCUGGCCUGAGGAUACAUCUACUAUGGAAUUCAUGGAAUGGUUUACCUGGAUUGUAUUAAACAGUAAUACUGAUAUCUGCCAAACUUUUAUUUGCACCAUCUGGGUUAUCUGGUCUGCUAGGAACAAAUAGAUUCACAAAGGUCAAAAAAUAUCAGGUGCCGAAACAACAAAAUUUACUUUAAAGUACUUACAAGAUCUAAACAACAUUAAUCGAAAAAAGCUUACCUUUAGUCCAAUAGUUGCAAAAUGGAGGCCUCUGGAGAAGGGUUUCUGCAAAAUCAAUUUUGACGCAACAGUUGACCUCAAAAUGCAAAGAUCAUGUUUGGGACUCAUAGUCAGAGAUUGGAGUGGGGAAAUCUUAGCCACAAAAACCAUAACUCAUGAGAAUAUACCUUUAGGGUUUGUAGCCAAAGCCGUUGCAUGUUUACAGACGGUUAUACUAGGCAGGGAUUUGGGAUUAAAAUUUGUCGAUAUUGAAGGGGACUCCUUGACAGUGAUAAAAAAAGCCCAAAACAAAAGCAGGGAUAAAUCGAUAAUAGGUGCAUACAUUCAAGACAUUCAAAAACUGAGUAAGAUUUUCUAUGAGAGCAAGUUUCAUUAUAUAAGACGAAAAGCAAAUGAGAAAGAGCACGAUCUGGCAUCAAAAGGCUUAAAAAUGGUAGGAAAUGCUUACCUUGCUCACAAAACAGUUGAUGAAGGAAUCACAGAAGCAGAGAUAGAUCGGGGAUGGGGAUGAAGAAUACCAAAAGGUUUAUGAUUUAGAGAAGAAAACUUAAUUGCUACCAGUCUUUUGUUCUUCUCCAGAAGCUGUUAAUGAUGAAUGAGAUAUUUUAGAGAGAUUUCUAGAAAACACCAGCUCAUUAAUACUGGGUUGUCU
rnacentral:lncRNA from 1 species